rnacentral:lncRNA from 1 species
GUGCCUAAAACAAUAAUCAAACCCAACCUCAGAAUUCAUAUCGAGAGAAUAUAUAACUUGUAUAAAAUACGUCACUACGUAGUUCGAUCCGGAAGAUCCGCCACUCAUAUUUUAAAUCCAUAACUUCCAGAGGUCCACAAUAUAUCUCUAGGAUAACAUCCUAAAAUUUCAUUACCAUCCAACGGUCGGAUCUCCGUCAAUUAACAAAACUAAGUGACGGUUAACAUUCUAUAUUAUGGACUUACAACUCUAAUUCCGGAAGAUCCGUAAAUCGGAUUCCCAAUCCGUAAGUUCCUAUAAUCCUCAAAUAUUACGUAUUACAACGUAUCAAAGUUUGGUGAUGAUCCAACGGUUGGAUCAUCAAUUCACAUUUUUACCUAAAUACGAAAACUAUAAAACGUUAUUUAAACACCUAACCAACAAUCCUUAAUAACUUCUCAUACGGUGCUCAAUUUGGGUAUAUGAAUAUACCACAUUGACCUACUCGACGUCACGGACGUCGACAAAUUUUUAAAAUAAUUGUUUACUGUGGCACGCGCCCCCACGCGCCCAGGAAGGCACGGGUCCAUGCGCGCCCACGCGCACCUUCUUCCUCGCGAGUUCGCCGGACUGGUUUUUCCGGUGGCCGGAAAACUGGGGAAUUUUCAAAUGCUUCGUUCUCCUUCGUUUCUCAACCAUUUUCUUCGUAUAAUAUAUCAAUUUAAAGCCCUCAACAUGUAGAAUCCAAGCAACUAAAUCUCACCGGAAAAAUCCAAGCAAAACCGGCCAAACUUAACCCUCGUGAUCCCGACGUCCAAAUCCUUCCAACGAAGCACUCCGAGCUUCCUUGGGACCUCACUAAGCUCACUAUGAGCUUGGAUUGUCCUAAAAAUCAACCAACAAAAAGUUCAUGAAUAGUGCCAAACUCGGACCUCGAGUUUUCAACGUGAAAACGAAGGAUUCCUUGCCUGAAAAUGGUGUCUUUGGGUUCUUAGAGUCUUCACGAGCACAAUGGUGCCCUUGGCACCUUCGAUCCGUGAAGUUUCAGGGUUUUGUGGUGAGGUCCGUACAUUUUGAGAAAGAGAGAGAGAAACUGAGAGAGUAGUGAGGGAGGAGAGAGAGAAGGCACGGGGGAAAGAGGGAGGUCUUGAGCGAGUGUGUGGUCCAACCACAACCAUACAUGCCAAAUUUAAUCCCUACCCACACAAAAUACAAUCCAAAUUUAAUCCAAACUUAUAAAAUUAAUCCAAAUAACGUCACACCCACGUACCUUAAUACCUGCUAAGGGUAAAUCCGUCUUUUCACGUCCUCGAUGAAUAAAAUCCCAGGACGGGCUGUGACAUUUGAUCAAAUCAAAUUACAAUCAAAAUCUAAUCUACACAUGCCCAUGGUUCAAACAAAUUUGAAACGGCCUUUCUGACACACCCCGUCCCGAAGGAGGGCAUGCUGGCCGUCACGUGAGAGUGACGUAACCAUUUGCACAGUACGGAAGCUUUAAGAUACAAUUUAUAAGUUGAUACACCCGAAGGUGAAUCCUAAUUUUGUCCAUUCUGUCAGAACACCGUCGAAUUCCUCUUAGUCACCACACCUUUGUGAUUCCUGAACCUGGAGGGGCGCAAAACCAAAAUUGAGUGGGUCAGUAAAACAAAUCUUUUCAAAUCCAACUUUUCUCAAAACAUUGUAACCCCUCUCCGUAAAACUUGUAAACUUUCCCAGAAAUGUAAAAUAUAAAUAUACAUAUAUAUUCUCAAAACUUCAUUUUUACUAUCUCAACAUUUUUCUUUAUCAAUCAUGCCAUGCCAUGUCUAAUUCAAUAGUUAAGUAUGGAUGCAUCAACAAUAAUCAUAUCAAGUGCAAGAAAGUAAUCAACCGGAGGCCCUCUAAUAGCCCUGUACGGUUGAACCUAGAGCUCAAAAUCUAUCACUCUCACUCUGCCGGAGUCACCUCUGUGACCUGUCCGGCCUUCUGCACAUAAGUCGGAACCACCUAAUGUAGUCUGUACGACUUAAUGGUUAAUAUUACGCUCUAGUGCUUUCUCAUCAAUCAUCUGUGCACAUAAUCUAAGGUCACCCACCAGUCGAAAUCUCACUAACACUCUAUGACUGGCCCGUCGCACCCACUCCGCGUGGACUGUGCGACCAACAUCUACUUGGAUCCAAGGCGAGCGUGCGAUGCGGUGAAUACUAUAAGCACUAAACCAUGGUGCAGGAUUUGAGCUCAAUAUACAUCAACAUCAUCAUAACAGUAAUUAAAUACUCACCUGAUACUCACCUGUGCGUCCGCCGCACCAUUCAUUCAUAUGCAUCAUAUCUCAAUUCAUACUUUUCAUAUCAUUUCAUGCAUGGCAAUUCGAUUCACAUUUCUAUAUACUUUUCAUAUACUUUUAUGCAUGGCAUCUCAAUUCACAUUUCAAUAUACUUUUCAUAUAAUUUUAUACAUUUUCAUUUAAAGCAUAAUUUCAUGCAUUUUCAAUUUUUGGGAAAACGGCAAGUAUAUAUGUAUACGGAAAACAAAACUGCCCACUCACCUGGAGUUCGCCCUACAACUCCCUAGCACAAUACGCCAAGGCGUCAUGACGAUCGGCGCCUAAAACAAUAAUCAAUUCCAACCUCAGAAUUCAUAUCGAUAGAAUAUAUAACUUAUAUAAAAUACGUCACUACGUAGUUCGAUCCGGAAGAUCUGCCAUUCAGAUUUUAAAUCCAUAACUUCCAGAGGUCCACAAUAUAUCUCUAGGACAACAUCCUAAAAUUUCAUCACCAUCCAACGGUCGGAUCUCCGUCAAUUAACAAAACUAAGUGACGGUUUACAUUCUAUUUUAUGAACUUACAACUCCAAUUCCGGAAGAUCCGUAAAUCGGAUUCCCAAUCCGUAAGUUCCUAUAAUCCUCAAAUAUUACGUAUUGCAACGUAUCAAAGUUUGGUGAUGAUCCAACGGUCGGAUCGUCAAUUCAUAUUUUCAUCUAAAUGCAAAAACUAUAAAACGUUAUUUGAACACCUAACCAACAAUCCUUAAUAACUUUCUCAUACGGUGCUCAAUUUGGGUAUAUGAAUAUACCACAUUGAUCUACUCGACGUCACGGACGUCGACAAAUUUUUAAAAUAAUGUUUUACUGUAGCACGCGCCCCACGCGCCAAGGAAGGCACGGGUCCACGCGCGCCCACGCGCACCUUCUUCCUCACGAGUUCGCCGGACUGGUUUUUCUCCGGUGGCCGGAUUCUGGGCAUUUUUCAAAUGCCUUGUUCUCCUUCGUUUCUCACCCAUUUUCUUCGUAUAAUAUAUCAAAAUGAAGCCCCAAACAUGUAGAAUCACAAUAUACUACUUUUAAGUUUCAAAAACAACUAAAUCUCACCGGAAAAGUCGAAGCAAAACCGGCCAAACUUGCAGCUCGUGAUCCCGAC